AUUGCUAUCGGGGUCCGAUUUAGCCAUGCUAGUCGUACGAGUUCACACUCGUGGCGAAUAGCUCCGUAACACGUGGCCAAACUACCCAACGGAGAACGAUAAUCUCGGGAAACUGGGGCUAAUAGUUCAUAGGGGACGCGUCCUGGAAUGGACUGUCUCCGAAACGUUCCGACGCCGUUGGAUGUGGCUGCGGCCGAUUAGGUAGACGGUGGGGUAACGGCCCACCGUGCCGAUAAUCGGUACGGGUUGUGAGAGCAAGAGCCCGGAGACGGAAUCUGAGACAAGAUUCCGGGCCCUACGGGGCGCAGCAGGCGCGAAACCUUUACACUGCACGGAAGUGCGAUAAGGGGACCCCGAGUGCGAGGGCAUACUAGCCCUCGCUUUUCGUAACCGUAAGGAGGUUACAGAAUAAGAGCUGGGCAAGACCGGUGCCAGCCGCCGCGGUAAUACCGGCAGCUCGAGUGAUGACCGAUUUUAUUGGGCCUAAAGCGUCCGUAGCUGGCCUCGUUGGUCCGUCGGGAAAUCCACCUGCUCAACAGGUGGGCGUCCGGCGGAUACCACGAGGCUUGGAACUGGAAGACCUGAGAGGUACGUCCGGGGUAGGAGUGAAAUCCCGUAAUCCUGGACGGACCGCCGAUGGCGAAAGCAUCUCAGGAAGACAGAUUCGACAGUGAGGGACGAAAGCUCGGGUCUCGAACCGGAUUAGAUACCCGGGUAGUCCGAGCCGUAAACGAUGCCAGUUAGGUGUGUCACCCACUACGAGUGGGUGAUGCGCCGUAGGGAAGCCGCUAAACUGGCCGCCUGGGAAGUACGUCCGCAAGGAUGAAACUUAAAGGAAUUGGCGGGGGAGCACUACAACCGGAGGAG
rnacentral:rRNA from 1 species